GUCUACUGCCUAGUGACGCGCGGCGUUCCGGAAGUUGCUGUGGCCGAAACGCAGUGGUCAGUGGAGGCGGGACUUAGAGGGGCGGAGGCCUGGGACCGGGGAUCUGAAGCGGCCAAACGUUGACUUGACCCCGGAAGUAGGCUGAAGGACCGGGCGAGCGGCAAGCUACGGGCAGCGGCGGACGGACUCUCAGAUAGCAUCGGCAGCGGCUAUGUUUCACUUCUUCCGAAAGCCUGCAGAAUCCAAAAAGCCCUCUGUGCCGGAACCGGAAGCCGAUGGAUUUGUCCUCUUAGGGAAGUUCCAAACCCCAGUGGGGGCUGGAAACUGUUGCUGAGGAAGUCUGGA